GUGGGGAAUAUUGGACAAUGGGCGAAAGCCUGAUCCAGCCAUGCCGCGUGUGUGAAGAAGGUCUUCGGAUUGUAAAGCACUUUAAGUUGGGAGGAAGGGCAGUAAGUUAAUACCUUGCUGUUUUGACGUUACCGACAGAAUAAGCACCGGCUAACUUCGUGCCAGCAGCCGCGGUAAUACGAAGGGUGCAAGCGUUAAUCGGAAUUACUGGGCGUAAAGCGCGCGUAGGUGGUUUUGUAAGUUGGAGGUUAGAUCACCGGGCGCAACCUGGGAACUGCCUCCAAAACUGCAUGACUAGAGGACGGUAGAGGGUGGUGGUAUUUCCUGUGUAGCGGUGAAAUGCGUAGAUAUAGGAAGGAACACCAGUAGCGAAGGCGACUACCUGGACUGAUACUGACACUGAGGUGCGAAAGCGUGGGGAGCAAACAGGAUUAGAAACCCUGGUAGUCC
rnacentral:rRNA from 1 species